UGUGUGCUCAAGUAUUUCCUGGAAUGGACAUCCAGCCAGGCCUUCAUUUUCAUCACCUGCAUCUGAUCUUUCCGAGGUGGAUGGCCGUGCUUGCCUUUGCGCCCUGAGCUGGUGGAGUUAGGAAACAUUCAGAGCCGCUUGCCAGACCUAUCGAGUCAUCCUGACUUCAGCACCUUCUGGGGACUGGCAGGGACCUUCUCAGAUGUGCUUUCAUAUCAGCUACAGCUGGUGAUUACUAUUCCAGGUAAUCACUUUCCACCGGACCUGGACACCAGAAACUCCUCAGUAACUACACUCUCCUCUCCAGGGUUGACUUGAGACUCAGCUGCAGCCCAAAUAUAAUUAGACAGCCUUCUGAGACCAUCUAGGUGCGAGACUUUCCUCCUCACACCAGUGCCAAGUUUCCACGUUCAAGAACUUAAACGGCCAUAUAAAAUGCUCUGGCAAGGAUGAUCUCAACUACAGCAAAUCAAGCACAUUUUGAAAGAAACGAUCCAGGGGGAAGAAUGGAAAAAGAAGGCAAGAAAACCACCGCAAAUAACCUCUCCUGCAGCAAACCAAGAACUUCUAGGAACACAGGACAAGCCUGCGACCAUGUCAACUCACCUUUAUUGCUCACAAA
rnacentral:lncRNA from 1 species